CAUAAACUGAAAUCCCACAUCCCCGUGGAGGAACUUGGAGAUAAGAUGCAAAGCGCAGCAAAUAGGAGCCACUCUUUCAGAGAUGACAGACCACCUGGUUUCGAGGAGCAGCAGACAGCGUGAAUGAAUGAAGUUGGCCAGUUCUGUGUGUUGACUGGAAUCACCUGGGAAGUUUUAGUCCUGUGAUACCACCUGGAACCACAAGUGAGGACACAGCAAGAAGAUGAUCAUCUGCAAGCCAAGAAGAGGGGUCUCACCAGAAUCCUAUAAUGCUGGCACCCUGAUAUUUUACUUUCCACCUUCCAUAAAUGUGAGAAAUAAA
rnacentral:lncRNA from 10 species